GCCAGCAUGGCUUAGUGGUUUGAGUGUUGGACUGUGACUCUGGAGACCAGGGUUCGAUUCUCUGUUUGGCC
rnacentral:tRNA from 1 species